AAUGAUGUGGUCUCCUGGAUUGGAUGCUAGAAUGGAAAAAGACAUUAGUGAAAUCCAAACAAAGGAUAUAAUUUAGUUAAUAGUGUGUACCAAUGUUAACCUCAGUUUUAUAACUGUACCCUAGUUACGUAAGAUGUGAACAUGAGGGCCGCUGGGUGAAGGGUGCAGGGAACUCUUCCAUCCGUACAACUCUUCUGUAAAUCUAAAAUGAUUGCAAAACAAACAAGCGCUACAUAUCUUGGAUAAUUGUUCUGGUUAUAUUUUAAUUCUUGCUCAAUCAAAAAAUCUGUCAAGUCUUUUGUGUUUUUGAGUGUUGUGCUUUAAAGCAUUGGGGGUGAGGGUUUGCCAGAUCUGGUGCUUCUGAGGUUUCUGGGUAAGAACAAAGGUCUGGCUAGAACCUCGGAAUCUUCCCCUCCAGCUGGAGCCCGGAACUCAGCAUCCCAGGGAGGGGCCUCGCUGGAGCCAUGCCCUCUCCUGCAGGGUUGCUGGCUUCUGGCGAUGAAAAGAUGCUCAACAAAGCUCGAGGGAACUUUUCCCUCCAGGUUCACAGGGGACAUUUCUCAGGUGUAAGAGCUGUCCACGAAGCUCGCUGGUUGCUCCAGAAUGGGUGGGUAGGAGAGAAAAGGCCCUUCCCACAAGGGUGGAGGAAUCCCAGAGCCGCUGAGCUGGGAGAUCUCAGUGCUCACGGGUCUGAUGCGCACAUUGCAGAGUCUGGGAGAACAAAGGCCAGAGAGACGGGGAGGCCGGGCCACGCCUGCCCCGAGCGAGGGUAGGGCAGUGCUGGCCUUUGAGUCCAGGUCUCUUGAUCUGCAAUUCUAGGGCCCUUCUCAUUAUUUCAUCUUUGUCCCUGAACUUGACAAGUAGGUGUCUGUGUAAGGGGAACUUGUCUCUGGGCUUCAGAGAGCCCAGAGCUUAAUUCCUGGCUCCUUGUGACUCCCUCUGCCUCUGUGGAGGAAAAUGUCUCCUUUUCCAUUACUUACAAGAGGUGGGCUCUGUGAGAGGCCUCCAAUCUGCCAGCUGCCGACACUUCGCAGAAUGAAAUCAUCCUGCUGAAUUGAUAAAUUCCGGAACUACUUCCAUCUGAGGCCUGGCCGGUCCCCACCUGGUGCACUUGACUGAGGAGGGUUCUGCUCCAGUUCACCUCUCUCAGCUGACGUGGGUGUUCAGCUGAGACGAAUGGGCUAUAUUGCCAUGAAAUUUCCCCAGAAUUUGUGCCAUGCCGCCCCCCAGCCUGCCAGACCACACAGGGGCCUCAGGAUCUGCCUGAACAUCUCAUCGAGGCUCGGUCUGCCUAGAAGACACUUUGGGAAAAAGCGAUUGCUUCUAAAAUCGUUCGCAGUAAAGUGCCUCUGAUUUAUUUUGCUUGAGGAAAGAAAGAAAUGAUCCUGGCCUAUGGCUUUGAGCAGGAAGGUGAUGGGGAGACGGGAGCAGUGGUUCUCAGCAGGCUAUGCAGUAGAAUCACCUGGUGACCCCAUUCCGAUUUAAUCGAUUUGAGGGCCCAGGCAUGGGUAUUUUUCACAGUGCCUUAAAUAGCUUUCCUAAACAGCUCGGGCUGAGAACAGGAUCGGAGGGAAAGGGGGAAAGAGCCUUGAAGUCAGCGGAUGGGAUUCCUUAUGUUUGCUAAGUCAAGAAACUUUCUAGAGAGGGGAAGGACUUGCCCGAGGUUCUGUAUAUUGUUGGCAAAUAAAAUUCAAGUUUCAGCUGAGCAAAAAUCUGUGCGUCACCUAGUCUGUGCUGGGUGAGCAGGAAACCAGGAUGUGAGGGGUGGUUUCUCCCAGCCACUCACCCAGCUGUCACAGGAAGCAGAAGAGGGGAAGGGCCAAUCCCAACAGAGAAGUUUGGGGAGGCGGCGCCCAGCUCCCACCAUGGUCCCCUCCACCAUCUCCUCCCGCAUAACGCUGCAAACCUGAAGGUUGAGUGGCGGUCUCCUUUGAACAGCCUCUCCUUUGAGAGCGAGGAUGUGAGAAGCCGGUCCAGGUGUCGGUCAGUGGAGUGACAUCCUUGAGCUGCAAUUUCGGGAAGUCAUCUGGUCAUCUGUGCAAGGACCUGAACUAUCACACGUAUGAUAUGUGUUCCCCUGUGCCUGGUUCCUUUCUGCAUCGUCUGUAAGUGAGCCGCCGCUGUUGUGGAGCAGGAGGGCACUGCUUUGGAUACAGGUGGUAUCCUCUUGCACAUGAAAAGAGACCUUGACAGCUGCCAGAAGCUUUGGGUGUCUUCCAGUGCCACAUCUCAGCCAGGGCAGGAGCCCCUGACGGGUGUCAUCUGGACUCUGAUUGAACAUCUGCAGGGAGAGGUCACCACCUCCUCUGAGUGCAUUGGAGGGCAAUGCAAAUUGCUAGAAAGUUCUUCUCCGUGCAGGUGUGGCUUGGCAGAGGUGAACCCAGAUUUGGGGGUGGUAGGAGGUAAUGAGAGUGGAAGAAGGGUCCCUCCAAUGAGGUUUCUGCAGCAGCAGGCUGAGCGCCCCAACUUUCUCCUUGGAAAUAAGACAUCCUCCUUUUGCUAAAGAGAGAAAACUAUCUGUGGUCUCCUGCCACACAGUCUUAGGUUUAAGUCCUAGCUCUGACUCCUAGAAGUGUGAUCUUGAGCCAUCUCUCAAACUCUCUGGGUCUCAGUCUCCUCUUAUUUAAAAUAGGAUCAUAAUACUUACCUCCCAGAUCUCUUUGAGGAUUAAAUAAUUUGAUGUUUGUGAAAUGUUCUUUGUGGAAAACAACUGUGAGUUACAUGUUGCCUCCGCAGAGCCCAGCUCACAGUUCUGAGGUGCUGGUCCUGGAUGUGAGUUUGGGGGUGCCUGUCUGCAGUGGGUUGGAUGGUGACCCCUAAAAAGAUAUGCCCAUGUUCGAAUCCCAGAACUGCGAAUGUGACCUUAUUUGGAAAAAGGGUCUUUACAGAUGUAAUACAAAGAAGAAUCUUGAAAUUAGCUCACCCGGGAUUAUCUGCAUGGACUGUAGAUUAGUAACAAGUGUCCUUACAAAAGACAGAGGAAACCCCCACCCAGACCACAGCCAGGUGGCAGAAGAAGCUGCAGAAGUUUUUUGGGCUGCUUAAAGCAUGGAGCCGCAGUGAAGAUGAGCAAUCUUAACAAAGCCAUCCCUCCCGCCAGAGCAGAUGGCACAAAAGGCUGCUUGCUUUUGAUCCUCAUGUCUUUGUAA
rnacentral:lncRNA from 1 species